rnacentral:rRNA from 1 species
ACAAGCGGUGGAGUAUGUGGUUUAAUUCGAUGCAACGCGAAGAACCUUACCUGGUCUUGACAUCCCGGAGACCCUUAGGAAACUAGGGGUGCUUCCAUCUGGAAGAAUCUGGAGACAGGUGCUGCAUGGCUGUCGUCAGCUCGUGUCGUGAGAUGUUGGGUUAAGUCCCGCAACGAGCGCAACCCUUGCCUUUAGUUGCCAGCAGUUCGGCUGGGCACUCUAAAGGGACUGCCGGUGUUAAACCGGAGGAAGGUGGGGAUGACGUCAAGUCCUCAUGGCCUUUAUGACCAGGGCUACACACGUACUACAAUGGCCGAUACAAAGGGCAGCGACACUGCGAGGUGAAGCCAAUCCCGUAAAAUCGGUCUCAGUCCGGAUUGGAGUCUGCAACUCGACUCCAUGAAGUUGGAAUCGCUAGUAAUCGUGGGUCAGCAUGCCACGGUGAAUACGUUCCCGGGCCUU